rnacentral:rRNA from 1 species
AUGCCUCCGCUCUACAUAUUAUCACUCGGGCUUCUCCUCUUCCACACUACUCCUUGGUCAUCUUCCUUUGUAGCUGCAAACAAUGAUACUCUCGUGGCAGGCCAACUGCUCGCCGUCGGGGGCAGGAUCGUCUCAAGAAAUGGCAAGUUCGCGCUUGGCUUCUUUCAGUUCCAGCCAGCAAGCACCAUCAGUAAGUCGUCUCAGAACACCGAAUCUCCCAGCCCCAGCUUGUGGUACCUUGGCAUAUGGUUCAAUAAGAUCCCAGUUUGCACUUCUGUAUGGGUUGCUAAUAGGGAUCAGCCCAUCGCUGACCCCAUCAUCAACCAAACACGGUUCAAGAUAUCAAGUGAUGGCAAUCUUAUCAUUGUAAACCAUGCUGCCAACAAUGAAUCCAUUGUUUGGUCCACCCGCGUCGUAAAUAAUAGGACAUACCUGAGCAGAAACAACACUAGUACCGCCGUUCUCUUGAACAGCGGAAACCUUGCGCUCAAAAAGAGCCCAUCAUCCGACCUACCGGUGUGGCAGAGCUUCGACUACCCAACAGAUGUUAUACUUCCUGGUGCAAAGUUUGGCCGGGACAAAGUCACUGGUUUCAGUCACCAGGCCAUCUCAAAGAAGAGCCUCAUUGAUCCGGGUCCCGGCUCAUACAGCUAUGAACUAGAACAGACCAAGGGGCUCGUCCUUAAGCGUCUCGAUCCCUUGGUAGAAUAUUGGCUUUAUGCAUCCUCCACAAAAUCAUCAUUCAAUCUUGUACCAAUGCUCAAGGCAGUGCUAGAUAUGGAUCCACGCACCAAAAGCUUGAUGAACCCAACAUAUGUUAAUAACGACCAAGAGGAGUACUACAUGUACACUUCACUUAAUGAGUCGUCUUCCUUUUUUAUCUUACUAGAUAUCUCUGGUCAGAUAAAGCUUAAUCUUUGGUCACAAGAUAAUCAAUCUUGGCAAACCAUAUAUGCCAUACCCGAUGAUCCCUGCAUUCCUCCUGCUACAUGUGGACCUUACACGGUCUGCAAUGGCAAUCCACAUCCAUCAUGUGACUGUAUGAAGAGCUUCUCUCAGAAGUCACCGCAAGAUUGGGAAUUUGAGGACAGAACAGGAGGAUGCAUUAGAAAUACACCAUUACAUUGCACUAGUGACAGCAACACCAUAAGUUCAACGGACAUGUUCCAUCCCAUUUCUCAAGUUACAUUGCCCUACAACCCGCAGAGCAUAGUCGUUACUUCGACUCAGGGCAAAUGCGAAGAAGCUUGUCUCAAUUCCUGCUCCUGCACUGCUUAUUACUAUAACAAUAGCAGAUGCUAUGUCUGGAAUGGGGAAUUGCUUAGUGUAAAUAUGAACAACGGCAUUACUAUCACUUCUAAAGAUGUUCUUUAUCUCCGUCUUUCUGCCAAAGAUUUCUUGCCAAGUUUGAGAAAAAACAAAAAAAAGCCAAACGUUGGAGUUGUUAUUGCUACAAGCAUUACUGGGUUUGGGUUACUCAUUCUUCUAUGGUUGUUAAAUCGGAGGAACAAAUUCAUGUGGUGUGGUCGGCUGCCAUUAUUCUAUGAUAAUCAAGGAAGUGUUGGCGGGAUUAUAGCCUUCAAAUAUACUGAUUUAGUUCGUGGUACCAAAAACUUCUCUGAAACGUUAGGUGUUGGAAGUUUUGGUUCUGUAUACAAGGGAGUGUUAAGUGAUUCGAAGACUAUUGUAGCAGUGAAAAGGCUUGAUGGUGCCCGUCAAGGAGAGAAGCAAUUCAGGGCCGAGGUGAGCUCAGUUGGACUUAUCCAGCACAUAAACCUAGUCAAAUUGAUAGGUUUCUGCUGCGAAGGUGAUCACAGAUUACUUGUGUAUGAGCAUAUGUUAAAUGGAUCUCUUGAUGGUCAUCUAUUUAAGAAGAGCAAUCCAAAUGUUGUCGUCCUGAAUUGGAACAUCAGAUAUCAGAUAUCCCUAGGAAUUGCUAGAGGAUUGUGCUACCUGCAUCAGGGUUGUCGUGAGUGCAUCAUACACUGCGAUAUUAAGCCAGACAACAUACUUCUGGAUGCAUCACUUGUUCCUAAAGUGUCAGACUUUGGGUUGGCAGCGUUUGUGGGAAGGGAUUUCAGCCGAAUUCUGACUUCAUUCAGAGGAACUGUGGGUUAUCUUGCCCCUGAGUGGCUUACUAGAGUGGCUAUCACACCGAAAGUUGACAUUUACGGCUUCGGCAUGGUGCUAUUGGAAAUCAUAUCAGGAAGGAGGAAUUCUUCACCUGAAACAUCAUACAACACAAGCAGCAGCAACAAGUACUUCCCUGUGCAAGCCAUCAACAAGCUUCACGAUGGAGAUUUGAAGAGUUUGGUGGAUCCACAGUUACAUGGUGACAUCAACUUGGGAGAGGCUGAAAGGAUUUGCAAAGUUGCAUGUUGGUGCAUCCAAGAUAAUGAGCUGGAUCGGCCGACCAUGGGUGAAGUAGUCCGGGUUCUCGAGGGUCUACAGGAGAUUGAUGUGCCCCCAAUGCCAAGACUGCUUGCAGCUAUAGCGGAAUAA